rfam:Oryza glaberrima chromosome 6 Oglab06_0074_11, whole genome shotgun sequence.
AAAGACUAUAAUUUUACACUGUUUGUGUCCAACGUUUGAUCAUUCGUCUUAUUUGAAAAAAAUUUAUAGAUAGUAUUUAUAUUGUUAUUAGAUGAUAAAACAUGAAUAAUACUUUAUGUUUGAUAUUUUUUUAAUUUUUUCAUAAAUUUUUUAAAUAAGACGGACAAUCAAACAUUGAAUACAGAAACCCACAACAAUACUUAUA